rnacentral:rRNA from 1 species
UUAACACAUGCAAGUCGAGCGGAAACGAUGAUAGCUUGCUAUCAGGCGUCGAGCGGCGGACGGGUGAGUAAUACUUAGGAAUCUACCUAGUAGUGGGGGAUAGCACGGGGAAACUCGUAUUAAUACCGCAUACGACCUACGGGAGAAAGGGGGCAGUUUACUGCUCUCGCUAUUAGAUGAGCCUAAGUCGGAUUAGCUAGAUGGUGGGGUAAAGGCCUACCAUGGCGACGAUCUGUAGCUGGUCUGAGAGGAUGAUCAGCCACACCGGGACUGAGACACGGCCCGGACUCCUACGGGAGGCAGCAGUGGGGAAUAUUGGACAAUGGGGGAAACCCUGAUCCAGCCAUGCCGCGUGUGUGAAGAAGGCCUUUUGGUUGUAAAGCACUUUAAGCAGUGAAGAAGACUCYUYGGUUAAUACCCRURGACGAUGACAUUAGCUGCAGAAUAAGCACCGGCUAACUCUGUGCCAGCAGCCGCGGUAAUACAGAGGGUGCAAGCGUUAAUCGGAAUUACUGGGCGUAAAGGGAGCGUAGGUGGCUCUAUAAGUCAGAUGUGAAAUCCCCGGGCUCAACCUGGGAACUGCAUCUGAUACUGUUGAGCUAGAGUAUGUGAGAGGAAGGUAGAAUUCCAGGUGUAGCGGUGAAAUGCGUAGAGAUCUGGAGGAAUACCGAUGGCGAAGGCAGCCUUCUGGCAUAAUACUGACACUGAGGCUCGAAAGCGUGGGUAGCAAACAGGAUUAGAUACCCUGGUAGUCCACGCCGUAAACGAUGUCUACUAGUCGUUGGGUCCCUUGAGGACUUAGUGACGCAGCUAACGCAAUAAGUAGACCGCCUGGGGAGUACGGCCGCAAGGUUAAAACUCAAAUGAAUUGACGGGGGCCCGCACAAGCGGUGGAGCAUGUGGUUUAAUUCGAUGCAACGCGAAGAACCUUACCUGGUCUUGACAUAUCUAGAAUCCUGCAGAGAUGCGGGAGUGCCUUCGGGAAUUAGAAUACAGGUGCUGCAUGGCUGUCGUCAGCUCGUGUCGUGAGAUGUUGGGUUAAGUCCCGCAACGAGCGCAACCCUUGUCCUUAGUUACCAGCGGGUUAAGCCGGGAACUCUAAGGAUACUGCCAGUGACAAACUGGAGGAAGGCGGGGACGACGUCAAGUCAUCAUGGCCCUUACGACCAGGGCUACACACGUGCUACAAUGGUAGGUACAGAGGGCAGCUACACAGCGAUGUGAUGCGAAUCUCAAAAAGCCUAUCGUAGUCCAGAUUGGAGUCUGCAACUCGACUCCAUGAAGUAGGAAUCGCUAGUAAUCGCGGAUCAGAAUGCCGCGGUGAAUACGUUCCCGGGCCUUGUACACACCGCCCGUCACACCAUGGGAGUUGAUUGCACCAGAAGUGGAUAGCUUAACCUU